GUUCCACUCCAUUUUCUUCCUGUGUGACAGAUGGCAGCAGAGGGGUAGUCUGAUAAAAUGGCGUCUGACAAGGAAGUGUGUGUGAGGACACGUGAAUAAAUCUACCUAGAGAGAAAACUGAACAUCCAGACUGGUCUUCCGUAACAGCUGCCAAAGGUCACCAGAUACUUUUCAAACUAAGAAGCAGUUCUAAACUAACUUCUUCAAGAGCAUACAAGACUUUGCUUUGGUUUCAGAGAAAAGG